rnacentral:rRNA from 1 species
CAGUAGCCACGGGAAUACGUAGGGUGCGAGCGUUAAUCGGAAUUACUGGGCGUAAAGCGUGCGCAGGCGGUUUUGUAAGACAGGCGUGAAAUCCCCGGGCUCAACCUGGGAAUGGCGCUUGUGACUGCAAAGCUAGAGUGCGGCAGAGGGGGAUGGAAUUCCGCGUGUAGCAGUGAAAUGCGUAGAUAUGCGGAGGAACACCGAUGGCGAAGGCAAUCCCCUGGGCCUGCACUGACGCUCAUGCACGAAAGCAUGGGGAGCAAACAGGAUUAGAUACCCGCGUAGUCCCUGUCUCUUAUAC